rnacentral:rRNA from 1 species
UAUUGCACAAUGGAGGAAACUCUGAUGCAGCGACGCCGCGUGAGUGAAGAAGGUCUUCGGAUCGUCAAACUCUGUCCUUGGUGACGAAAAAAUGACGGUAGCCAAGGAGGAAGCCCCGGCUAACUACGUGCCAGCAGCCGCGGUAAUACGUAGGGGGCGAGCGUUGUCCGGAUUUACUGGGCGUAAAGGGUGAGGAGGCGGUAAUAUGUGUCAGAUGUAAAAGGCUAUGGCUUAACCAUAGUUGGCAUUUGAAACUGUAUUACUUGAGUGCAGUUGAGGUAAGUGGAAUUCCUAGUGUAACGGUGAAAUGCGUAGAUAGUAGGAGGAACACCAGUGGCGAAGGCGACUUACUGGACUGUAAC